ACGGCUCAGUAACACGUGGACAACCUACCCUUAGGUCGGGGAUAAACCCGGGAAACUGGGUAUAAUACCCGAUAGUCCUCGGAUGCUGGAAUGCACCGAGGUCUAAAGCUCCGGCGCCUAAGGAUGGGUCUGCGGCCUAUCAGGUAGUAGUGGGUGUAGCGUACCUACUAGCCUACGACGGGUACGGGUUGUGAGAGCAAGAGCCCGGAGAUGGAUUCUGAGACACGAAUCCAGGCCCUACGGGGUGCAGCAGGCGCGAAAACUUUACAAUGCUGGAAACAGCGAUAAGGGGACCUCGAGUGCCAGGUUACAAAUCUGGCUGUCGUGAUGCCUAAAAAGCAUUGCAUAGCAAGGGCCGGGCAAGACCGGUGCCAGCCGCCGCGGUAACACCGGCGGCUCGAGUGGUAACCGCUAUUAUUGGGUCUAAAGGGUCUGUAGCCGGCCGGAUAAGUCUUUUGGGAAAUCUGGCAGCUUAACUGUCAGGCUUUCAGAGGAUACUGUCUGGCUCGAGGCCGGGAGAGGUGAGAGGUACUUCAGGGGUAGGGGUGAAAUCUUGUAAUCCUUGAAGGACCACCAGUGGCGAAGGCGUCUCACCAGAACGGACCUGACGGCAAGGGACGAAAGCUAGGGGCACGAACCGGAUUAGAUACCCGGGUAGUCCUAGCCGUAAACGAUACUCGCUAGGUGUCGGCCACGGUGCGACCGUUGUCGGUGCCGUAGGGAAGCCGUGAAGCGAGCCACCUGGGAAGUACGGCCGCAAGGCUGAAACUUAAAGGAAUUGGCGGAGGAGCAC
rnacentral:rRNA from 1 species